rnacentral:rRNA from 1 species
GGUUAAGCGACUAAGCGUACACGGUGGAUGCCCUGGCAGUCAGAGGCGAUGAAGGACGUGCUAAUCUGCGAUAAGCGUCGGUAAGGUGAUAUGAACCGUUAUAACCGGCGAUUUCCGAAUGGGGAAACCCAGUGUGAUUCGUCACACUAUCAUUAACUGAAUCCAUAGGUUAAUGAGGCGAACCGGGGGAACUGAAACAUCUAAGUACCCCGAGGAAAAGAAAUCAACCGAGAUUCCCCCAGUAGCGGCGAGCGAACGGGGAGCAGCCCAGAGCCUGAAUCAGUGUGUGUGUUAGUGGAAGCGUCUGGAAAGGCGUGCGAUACAGGGUGACAGCCCCGUACACAAAAAUGCACAUACUGUGAGCUCGAUGAGUAGGGCGGGACACGUGGUAUCCUGUCUGAAUAUGGGGGGACCAUCCUCCAAGGCUAAAUACUCCUGACUGACCGAUAGUGAACCAGUACCGUGAGGGAAAGGCGAAAAGAACCCCGGCGAGGGGAGUGAAAAAGAACCUGAAACCGUGUACGUACAAGCAGUGGGAGCACGCUUAGGCGUGUGACUGCGUACCUUUUGUAUAAUGGGUCAGCGACUUAUAUUCUGUAGCAAGGUUAACCGAAUAGGGGAGCCGAAGGGAAACCGAGUCUUAACUGGGCGUUAAGUUGCAGGGUAUAGACCCGAAACCCGGUGAUCUAGCCAUGGGCAGGUUGAAGGUUGGGUAACACUAACUGGAGGACCGAACCGACUAAUGUUGAAAAAUUAGCGGAUGACUUGUGGCUGGGGGUGAAAGGCCAAUCAAACCGGGAGAUAGCUGGUUCUCCCCGAAAGCUAUUUAGGUAGCGCCUCGUGAAUUCAUCUCCGGGGGUAGAGCACUGUUUCGGCAAGGGGGUCAUCCCGACUUACCAACCCGAUGCAAACUGCGAAUACCGGAGAAUGUUAUCACGGGAGACACACGGCGGGUGCUAACGUCCGUCGUGAAGAGGGAAACAACCCAGACCGCCAGCUAAGGUCCCAAAGUCAUGGUUAAGUGGGAAACGAUGUGGGAAGGCCCAGACAGCCAGGAUGUUGGCUUAGAAGCAGCCAUCAUUUAAAGAAAGCGUAAUAGCUCACUGGUCGAGUCGGCCUGCGCGGAAGAUGUAACGGGGCUAAACCAUGCACCGAAGCUGCGGCAGCGACGCUUAUGCGUUGUUGGGUAGGGGAGCGUUCUGUAAGCCUGUGAAGGUGUGCUGUGAGGUAUGCUGGAGGUAUCAGAAGUGCGAAUGCUGACAUAAGUAACGAUAAAGCGGGUGAAAAGCCCGCUCGCCGGAAGACCAAGGGUUCCUGUCCAACGUUAAUCGGGG